AAACCGUUAUGUAGACACAUUUUGACUAAUUUAUUGAAUCUCUUCCAUGCAUCACUUAAGGUUUCCUGCUCCCUUUGUUCAAAAUUGGUGAUGUCUCUUCGCCUCU